rnacentral:rRNA from 1 species
GCAGCAGGCACGCAAAUUACCCACUCCCGGCACGGGGAGGUAGUGACAAAAAAUAACGAUACGGGACUCUAUUGAGGCCCCGUAAUCGGAAUGAGUACACUUUAAAUCCUUUAACAAGGAUCCAUUGGAGGGCAAGUCUGGUGCCAGCAGCCGCGGUAAUUCCAGCUCCAAUAGCGUAUAUUAAAGUUGUUGCGGUUAAAAAGCUCGUAGUUGGUUCUGCGUGCCGCGCUGUCGGUUCGCCGCCUGUCGGUGUAACUGGCAUGUCGCGGCAUGUCCUGUCGGUGGUGAACGGAGUCCACAAUGCUACAUAGGCUUUACAGCCGAUGUUAGCGUCGUGUGUACUUCCGUUGGCCGAUCUCUCCUACUUCGGUGCUCUUAAACGAGUGUCGAGGUAGGCCGACACGUUCACUUUGAACAAAUUAGAGUGCUUAAAGCAGGCUGAAAUAUCUGCCUGAAUAGUGGUGCAUGGAAUGAUAAAACAGGACCUCGGUUCUAUUUUGUUGGUUUUAGGAAUAUGAGGUAAUGAUCAAUGUGGACUGGCGGGGGCAUUCGUAUUGCGACGUUAGAGGUGAAAUUCUUGGAUCGUCGCAAGACGCACUAGAGCGAAAGCAUUUGCCAAGUAUGUCUUAAUUGAUCAAGAACGAAAGUUAGAGGUUCGAAGGCGAUCAGAUACCGCCCUAGUUCUAACCAUAAACGAUGCCAGCCAGCGAUCCGCCGAUGUUCCUUUAAUGACUCGGCGGGGAGCUUCCACCCGGGAAACCAAAGCUUUUGGGUUCCGGGGGAAGUAUGGUUGCAAAGCUGAAACUUAAAGGAAUUGACGGAAGGGCACCACCAGGAGUGGAGCCUGCGGCUUAAUUUGACUCAACACGGGAAACCUCACCAGGCCAGGACAUUGGAAGGAUUGACAGAUUGAUAGCUCUUUCUUGAUUCAGUGGGUAGUGGUGCAUGGCCGUUC